rnacentral:tRNA from 1 species
GCCGGCGUGACGGAAUUGGUAGACGUAUCGCUACAGCAACGGGUGCGAGUUCGAUCCCCUGCCGCUGGCA